GCCUUCGUGGUGUAGUGGUCAGCACGCUCGGCGCGUAUUCGAGAGGUCCGUGGUUCGAGUCCCGGCCAGGGCA
rnacentral:tRNA from 1 species